rnacentral:rRNA from 1 species
UACGUAGGGGGCAAGCGUUGUCCGGAUUUACUGGGCGUAAAGCGCACGUAGGCGGCUUUGUAAGUUAGAGGUGAAAGCCCGGGGCUCAACUCCGGAAUUGCCUUUAAGACUGCAUCGCUAGAAUUGUGGAGAGGUAAGUGGAAUUCCGAGUGUAGAGGUGAAAUUCGUAGAUAUUCGGAAGAACACCAGUGGCGAAGGCGACUUACUGGACACAUAUUGACGCUGAGGUGCGAAAGCGUGGGGAGCAAACAGG